UUAGAGUUUUGAUCAUGGCUCAGAUUGAACGCUGGCGGCAGGCCUAACACAUGCAAGUCGAGCGGUAACAUUUCUAGCUUGCUAGAAGAUGACGAGCGGCGGACGGGUGAGUAAUGCUUGGGAAUAUGCCUUAGGGUGGGGGACAACAGUUGGAAACGACUGCUAAUACCGCAUAACGUCUACGGACCAAAGGGGGCUUCGGCUCUCGCCCUUAGAUUAGCCCAAGUGGGAUUAGCUAGUUGGUGAGGUAAUGGCUCACCAAGGCGACGAUCCCUAGCUGGUUUGAGA
rnacentral:rRNA from 1 species